rnacentral:rRNA from 1 species
UUUUUGAGCGGGGGACAACAUUUGGAAACGAAUGCUAAUACCGCAUAACAACUUUAAACACAAGUUUUAAGUUUGAAAGAUGCAAUUCGCAUCACUCAAAGAUGAUCCCGCGUUGUAUUAGCUAGUUGGUGAGGUAAAGGCUCACCAAGGCGAUGAUACAUAGCCGACCUGAGAGGGUGAUCGGCCACAUUGGGACUGAGACACGGCCCAAACUCCUACGGGAGGCAGCAGUAGGGAAUCUUCGGCAAUGGACGAAAGUCUGACCGAGCAACGCCGCGUGAGUGAAGAAGGUUUUCGGAUCGUAAAACUCUGUUGGUAGAGAAGAACGUUGGUGAGAGUGGAAAGCUCAUCAAGUGACGGUAACUACCCAGAAAGGGACGGCUAACUACGUGCCAGCAGCCGCGGUAAUACGUAGGUCCCGAGCGUUGUCCGGAUUUAUUGGGCGUAAAGCGAGCGCAGGUGGUUUAUUAAGUCUGGUGUAAAAGGUAGUGGCUCAACCAUUGUAUGCAUUGGAAACUGGUAGACUUGAGUGCAGGAGAGGAGAGUGGAAUUCCAUGUGUAGCGGUGAAAUGCGUAGAUAUAUGGAGGAACACCGGGUGGCGAAAGCGGCUCUCUGGCCUGUAACUGACACUGAGGCUCGAAAGCGUGGGGAGCAAACAGGAUUAGAUACCCUGGUAGUCCACGCCGUAAACGAUGAGUGCUAGAUGUAGGGAGCUAUAAGUUCUCUGUAUCGCAGCUAACGCAAU